rnacentral:rRNA from 1 species
AACUAGAGGAAACUCGAGCUAAUACCGCAUACGCCCCAAGGGGGAAAGCGGGGGAUCUUUCGGGACCUCGCGCUAAUAGAUGAGCCUAAGCCGGAUUAGCUUGUUGGUGGGGUAAAAGCCUACCAAGGCGACGAUCCGUAGCUGGUCUGAGAGGACGAUCAGCCACACUGGGACUGAGACACGGCCCAGACUCUUACGGGAGGCAGCAGUAGGGAAUAUUGCACAAUGGGCGAAAGCCUGAUGCAGCAAUUCUGCGUGUGUGAAGAAGGCCUUAGGGUUGUAAAGCACUUUCAAUAGUGAAGAAAAGCACA